rnacentral:rRNA from 1 species
AACGAACGCUGGCGGCGUGGAUAAGACAUGCAAGUCGAACGCUGGUUACGAGGUAGCAAUAUUUCGUAAUCGGAGUGGCGAACGGGUGCGUAACACGUGGGCAAUUUGCCGUGAAGUUUGGGACAACUCCGAGAAAUCGGAGCUAAUACCGGAUGUGAUUAUCUGGGGGGCAUCCCUGGAUGGUUAAAAGUUGGGGACCGCAAGGCCUGACGCUUCAUGAUAAGCCCGCGGCCUAUCAGCUAGUUGGUGAGGUAACGGCCCACCAAGGCUAAGACGGGUAGCUGGUCUGAGAGGACGACCAGCCACACUGGAACUGAGACACGGUCCAGACACCUACGGGUGGCAG